rnacentral:rRNA from 1 species
GAUGAACGCUAGCGAUAGGCUUAACACAUGCAAGUCGAGGGGCAGCAUGGUCUUAGCUUGCUAAGACUGAUGGCGACCGGCGCACGGGUGCGUAACGCGUAUGCAACUUGCCUCACAGAGGGGGAUAACCCGUCGAAAGACGGACUAUACCGCGUACACUCCAUCUUGGGCAUCCAAGGUAGAGGUAAUGAAAUUCGCUGUGAGAUAGGCAUGCGUCCCAUUAGCUAGUUGGUGAGGUAACGGCUCACCAAGGCGACGAUGGGUAGGGGAACUGAGAGGUUGAACCCCCACACUGGUACUGAGACACGGACCAGACUACUACGGGAGGCAGCAGUGAGGAAUAUUGGUCAAUGGGCGAGAGCCUGAACCAGCCAAGUCGCGUGAAGGAUGACUGUCUUAUGGAUUGUAAACUUCUUUUAUACGGGAAUAACAAGAGUCACGUGUGACUCCCUGCAUGUACCGUAUGAAUAAGCAUCGGCUAACUCCGUG